rnacentral:rRNA from 1 species
AUUGAACGCUGGCGGCAUGCCUUACACAUGCAAGUCGAACGGUAACAGGUCUUCGGAUGCUGACGAGUGGCGAACGGGUGAGUAAUACAUCGGAACGUGCCUAGUAGUGGGGGAUAACUACUCGAAAGAGUGGCUAAUACCGCAUGAGAUCUACGGAUGAAAGCAGGGGAUCGCAAGACCUUGUGCUACUAGAGCGGCCGAUGGCAGAUUAGGUAGUUGGUGGGAUAAAAGCUUACCAAGCCGACGAUCUGUAGCCGGUCUGAGAGGACGAUCAGCCACACUGGGAUUGAGACACGGCCCAGACUCCUACGGGAGGCAGCAGUGGGGAAUUUUGGACAAUGGGCGCAAGCCUGAUCCAGCAAUGCCGCGUGCAGGAUGAAGGCCUUCGGGUUGUAAACUGCUUUUGUACGGAACGAAAAGCCCCGGGUUAAUACCCUGGGGUCAUGACGGUACCGUAAGAAUAAGCACCGGCUAACUACGUGCCAGCCGCCGCCGUAA